AUUGAAAUACCACUGAUGAGUAGUUUUACUAUUCCUUGUCAUCUUGCCGUGACAUACAUCUACCUAUUCUGGAACACUACUUUAAAAAGUGUAAAUUAUCAUUAGUUUACAUUGCCUGUGAAAUACCUUAUUGUUAUUGACCAAUUCAUGAUAAGAGAAUGCAUAUUGCUAAUAUAUCAUGACAAGAGAGGGUAUAUUGCUUAUCAAUUAGAUUGAGAAUACUCAACUCAACUCAACUGA
rnacentral:misc_RNA from 1 species